ACACCGGGAAACUGCUUCGCACGGUCUUUUGCGCUUAUUUUUGUUGGCAAAUGAGAAUGAUUCUAUUCCCGCAUAUUCCAUCGCAUUUUUUAAGAAAACGUGCCGGACGGACAGCAGCCACAGGCUCUUCUAUCAUCAUGGUUUCAUGGUGGCAGCUCAUUCUGAGGGAUAUCUUGAGCCACUCGGGAUGCGCUGCCCUUUCCACUGGACCCGUUAUAUCAAGGCAGUGGAAAGCAGUGCGGCUGUAUAGCAUCCAAUAGCCAAAGCCUGGCUCCCCUCCAAAUCUAAGUGGGUUUGAGCCAGGCCAUGACAUGGAAGGGAAACCAUUUUGAAAAAACUCAGGGUCAGAUAGGGGUGAUAGGGGCACUAGACUGUAAGAAGAACCAUCAUUUAAACGGAGGAUGAUGAGCAGCCGCCCCCUUCCAUCCAACCCUUCCCUUCCAGCCGCUCCUACAUCUGAAAGAUGCCAGACAGAAACUCAAAACUCAAAUAGUAUCAAACCACAGCUACACACAGAUGCUCCCUAUACUGGAUGAAGCCAAAGACUUUAUGACUUUACAACAAUUAUGUAUAAGAAACCAUCAUUGUGAAAAAAGCCCUCCUGAAUAUA